rnacentral:rRNA from 1 species
AUUGAACGCUGGCGGCAGGCCUAACACAUGCAAGUCGAACGAGUGGCGGACGGGUGAGUAAUGUCUGGGAAACUGCCUUAUGGAGGGGGAUAACUACUGGAAACGUUAGCUAAUACCGCAUACCAUCAGAUGUGCCCAGAUGGGAUUAGCUAGUUGGUUGGGUAACGGCUCACCAAGGCGACGAUCCCUAGCUGGUCUGAGAGGAUGACCAGCCAGACUGGAACGGAGAGACGGUCCAGACUCCUACGGGAGGCAGCAGUGGGGAAUAGUGCACAAUGGGAGCAAGCCGGAAGCAGCCAUGCCGCGUGGACGAAGAAGGCCUUCGGGUUGUAAAGUACUUUCAGCGGGGAGGCGUUACCCGCAGAAGAAGCACCGGCUAACUCCGUGCCAGCAGCCGCGGUAAUUC